AGGACGAACGCUGGCGGCGUGCUUAACACAUGCAAGUCGAACGGAAAGGCCCUUUCGGGGGUACUCGAGUGGCGAACGGGUGAGUAACACGUGGGUGAUCUGCCCUGCACUUCGGGAUAAGCUUGGGAAACUGGGUCUAAUACCGGAUAGGACUACGGACUUCAUGGUUUGUGGUGGAAAGCUUUUGCGGUGUGGGAUGGGCCCGCGGCCCAUCAGCUUGUUGGUGGGGUGAUGGCCUACCAAGGCUGCGACGGGUAGCCGGCCUGAGAGGGUGUCCGGCCACACUGGGACUGAGAUACGGCCCAGACUCCUACGGGAGGCAGCAGUGGGGAAUAUUGCACAAUGGGCGCAAGCCUGAUGCAGCGACGCCGCGUGGGGAUGACGGCCUUCGGGUUGUAACCGUCUUUCACCAUCGACGAAGCCGUUCGGGUGACGGUAGGUGGAGAAGAAGCGACCGGCCAACUACGCGCCAGCAGCCGC
rnacentral:rRNA from 1 species